rnacentral:lncRNA from 1 species
GUAAUCCCAGCACUUUAGGAGGCCAAGGGAGGUGGAUUACUUGAGGGAAGUUAUUUUCUUUAACAAGUAAAUGGGCAUUUAUAUAAUAAGGUGGCAAAUCAUAUUGGAAGUGAACAUCAUGAAGUUCUCUUUAACUCUGAGGAAGGCUUUCAGGCUCUGGAUGAAGUCAUAUUUUCCUUGGAAACUUACAACAUUACAACAGCUGAUGCUUCAAAUGAGAUAGAAAAACAUCUCCUGAGAGAGACAUUUGAGGACUCCAAUCUGAUACUCAAAGAGAUUCUCUGGUGACCAAAAGAAGUCUUCAGUGAUGGAAUAACUUCAGUUAAGAAUUCCUGGUUUAAGAUUUUACAGAAAUAUGUUGAACAUCAGGUUGAUGAUGCAAUGAUGGCAAAUGCAGCCCAGAAAUUUCCCUUCAAUACUCCUAAAACCAAAGGAUACUACUACCAUCAAAUCCUUGAACACCAUUUCCCAGGCCAGGCUGACUGGCUGAGCCAUUACUGGGUGCCCAAGUGGAUCGAUGCCACUGACCCUUCUGCCCACACACUGACCCACUACAAGUCAGCUGCCAAAGCUUAGGUGCUCUUUAUGCUGUAAUAUGAAAGCAAAUAUUUCUUCUUAUUGUAUGGGGACUAUGGGUAGAUAGGGGAACAAUGAAAGUCAACUCAGGCUAACUUGAAUGUGAAAAAAAUAAAAGUCCU